AACCUGCCCUCAGCUCUGGGACAACUCCGGGAAACCGGGGCUAAUACCGGAUACGAUCUAAGACGACAUCGUCUUGGAUGGAAAGUUUUUCGGCUGGGGAUGGGCCCGCGGCCUAUCAGCUUGUUGGUGGGGUAAUGGCCUACCAAGGCGACGACGGGUAGCCGGCCUGAGAGGGCGACCGGCCACACUGGGACUGAGACACGGCCCAGACUCCUACGGGAGGCAGCAGUGGGGAAUAUUGCGCAAUGGGCGAAAGCCUGACGCAGCGACGCCGCGUGAGG
rnacentral:rRNA from 1 species